ACGACCCUCGUUGCCCGAGUCUCCGUCACCGCCCUUCCCCAGGCACCGAGAGGAGUGCCCGCGGCCACCGAGGGCCGAGCGGAGAAGCACGUGACAUGAAACGAGCUGGAGCGGCCGUGGGCGUGGAAGCUGGUGGCAGUCCCUCAGGGCUGUGGACCCCUCACCAUGUGGAGAUAGCAGUAUGGACAUGUGGGGCAGAAGCUGUGCCCUGAUCUGCUGCCCGGCCUUGGUCCCAGCCCGGCCAUUCCUGAGGACACCACUGCCAGCCAAGAAAUGCAGAACGCAGGCUGCCUGAACUUGGCUGUGGCCCAGGGCCUGCUCACCUGCCCACAACCUCAGGCCACAGGUUUCUCUGGAGGGCGGGCUGUCCAAGCAGGAGGCUGGCUGCUGUGGGAUCUCAGUAAAUGCUUGCUGAACUCA